UACGUAGGGUGCAAGCGUUGUCCGGAAUUAUUGGGCGUAAAGAGCUCGUAGGCGGUCUGUCGCGUCUGCUGUGAAAACUCAGGGCUUAACCCUGAGCUUGCAGUGGGUACGGGCAGACUAGAGUGCGGUAGGGGAGACUGGAAUUCCUGGUGUAGCGGUGAAAUGCGCAGAUAUCAGGAGGAACACCGGUGGCGAAGGCGGAUCUCUGGGCCAUUACUGACGCUGGAGGAGCGAAAGCGUGGGGAGCGAACAGG
rnacentral:rRNA from 1 species